ACGGGAGGCAGCAGUGAGGAAUAUUGGUCAAUGGGCGGAAGCCUGAACCAGCCAAGUCGCGUGAAGGAAGAAGGUAUUAUGUAUUGUAAACUUCUUUAGCAGCAGAGUAAUAAGGAGGUCGAGACCUCUGACGCAAGUAUGCUGAAAAUAAGGAUCGGCUAACUCCGUGCCAGCAGCCGCGGUAAUACGGAGGAUCCGAGCGUUAUCCGGAUUUAUUGGGUUUAAAGGGUGCGCAGGCGGCCCGUUAAGUCAGUGGUUAAAUCGUGAGGCUCAACCUCAUCACGCCAUUGAUACUGGGGGGCUUGAUUGCGGUUGAGGUUGGCGGAAUUCGUCGUGUAGCGGUGAAAUGCAUAGAUAUGACGAAGAACACCGAUUGCGUAGGCAGCUGACCAAGCCGUAAAUGGCGCUCAUGCACGAAAGUGCGGGGAUCGAACAGGAUUAGAUACCCUGGUA
rnacentral:rRNA from 1 species